CAAAGUAUGUGUGAGGGUUUGGUUUGCUGUUGACAGCCUUUUAGAGAGUUUUUUUCUUUAUAUGGAACCCAAACCUCUCUCUCCUUAACUUCCACCCAAGUGCCGUAAUCUCGCACUGAGACAACACAGGCCCUAAAGGCAACCAGCUGUCGUGGAACUUGCUGGGGGUGCCUUCAAGGAAAUGACUGAGGAAACAGAGAUGAUCAGAGGCCAUGACCAUCACUGAAACCUGGGGAGAAUGCCGGAUUAUUAUGGGAACUGUGGCCUGAAACAACUACAGCCAGGCAGCUGGUUUGAUUUCUGGGGAUUCAAAGAGAUUGGGGAAGCCAAGGCCUGCUUCUGCACGUUGUAGACGUGGGAAACAAAGCAGACAAAAUCUCUGCCCUAACACUGCUUACGUUCUACUGGAGGGGACAAGAAUAAGGUAAGGAAAACAUUUAGUGUGUCAGCUGGCAUACACUGAGGAGGAGAAGAGUGUAAGCCCACGAGGAAGGGGAUGUUAUAGGAAGCGUGGGGGAACGAACUUCAGCUGGAUCACACCAGAGGAGCCUUCCCUCUGGGUAAAGACCGGAGCAAAUGUGCGAGGUGGCCAUGUGGACAGUUUUUGGCACAGCAGUCCCAAAUGGGGGAAUAUUUCCGGCUUGUCUGCGCCGCAGUGGAGAAGCCCGUGUGGUGGUCGCAAAGGGGAUGAGGGGCAGAGCGGUGGGAGGUGAGGACAGAGCAGCCAUCGGGUCCCUAACUGUGUGUGUCUGGUAUGUUUCCAUGAAUGUGUGUGCCUGUGUGUCUUUGUGUAUGUCCGUGUAUUUAUGUGUCUGUGUAUAUAUCUGAGUGUGUAUCUGAGUGUAUCCAUUCAUGUGUCUCUGCCUGUGUGUCUAUAUGUGUUGGUGUGUGUAUCUGUCUGUCUAUGCGUAUUUGUGUGUCUGUCUGGCGUGUGCCCAUACUAAAGUAUGCAUGCCCAUACACAUGAAAAGUCACGUGUGUUUAUGAAUGAGUAUGGGGGGGCUGGUAUAUAUAAGUGUGGGUAGCUCAUGGAGGGCUCUGUACAUCCCAAUAAUGACCUUGGCUUUUAUUCUGAGUGCAGUGGGAAGACAUUGGCGGUUUUGGGGAAGAGAAGCGACAUCCGACCGAGGUUUUAGGAACACUCUGAGAAUAGCUUGAAGGGAGUCAGUGCGGACACAAGGACACCAUUGACAGGCUAGUACAAUAAUCCAUCUGAGCAAUAAUGGUGUUUUUGGUCGGGCUGGUGGAAGUGGGGUGGCAAGAAACGGUCACGUCUGCAUUUGGGAUCCAUUGCGAGGACAGAGCUGACAAGAUCUGCUGAUGCCUGGUUGCGAUGUAGGAGUGAAUGAGAGAAGUCAGGAAGAGAGGAGGUUUUGGUCGCAGCCACUGGAAGACUGGAGUUGCUGGUUUUCCGAGAUGAUGAAAGGUCUAGGGGUGACUCUCAAGUUUGGUUUUAGACUCGUCGAGUUUGGGGUGACCAGUGGACACUCAGGAGAAGAAACCAAAUGGGGAGUUGAGUCUACAAGUCUGCAGGAGUUCAGGGCAGAUUUCAGGCUUAAGAUGUACACUUCGGAGUCACCUGUGAGUGGAUGCCGUUUAAACCACGAAAACAGCCAGGUCGUCGUGGGCUUACCGUAGAUAAAAAAAGAGACUGUCUAGAAGACAAAGAGGGACCGACAAAAUACACUGAGAAGGUCCAGUCGUGUAGGUCAAAGACAAACCAGGGAGAGAAUUCUGGAAGCCGUGCGAAGAGACUUAGUCUAAGGAGUGAGACGUGCGGGGAGUGAUGGUGUCACGUGCUGCUGAAGAGACAAGCUGAAUAAAGACUGGAGAAAGAUGGCCACGG